rnacentral:rRNA from 1 species
CCUACGGGAGGCUGCAGUGAGGAAUUUUGGUCAAUGGACGAGAGUCUGAACCAGCCAAGUCGCGUGAAGGAUGACUGCCCUAUGGGUUGUAAACUUCUUUUAUAUGGGAAUAAAAUGUUCCACGUGUGGGAUUUUGUAUGUACCAUAUGAAUAAGGAUCGGCUAACUCCGUGCCAGCAGCCGCGGUAAUACGGAGGAUCCGAGCGUUAUCCGGAUUUAUUGGGUUUAAAGGGAGCGUAGGUGGAUUGUUAAGUCAGUUGUGAAAGUUUGGGGCUCAACCGUAAAAUUGCAGUUGAAACUGGCAGUCUUGAGUACAGUAGAGGUGGGCGGAAUUCGUGGUGUAGCGGUGAAAUGCAUAGAUAUCACGAAGAACUCCGAUUGCGAAGGCAGUUCACUGGACUGCAACUGACACUGAGGCUCGAAAGUGUGGGUAUCAAACAGGAUUAGAUACCCGUGUAGUC